UGGGGAAUAUUGGACAAUGGGCGAAAGCCUGAUCCAGCCAUGCCGCGUGUGUGAAGAAGGUCUUCGGAUUGUAAAGCACUUUAAGUUGGGAGGAAGGGCAGUAAGCGAAUACCUUGCUGUUUUGACGUUACCGACAGAAUAAGCACCGGCUAACUCUGUGCCAGCAGCCGCGGUAAUACAGAGGGUGCAAGCGUUAAUCGGAAUUACUGGGCGUAAAGCGCGCGUAGGUGGUUCGUUAAGUUGAAUGUGAAAGCCCCGGCUCAACCUGGGAACUGCAUCCAAAACUGGCGAGCUAGAGUAGGGCAGAGGGUGGUGGAAUUUCCUGUGUAGCGGUGAAAUGCGUAGAUAUAGGAAGGAACACCAGUGGCGAAGGCGACCACCUGGGCUCAUACUGACACUGAGGUGCGAAAGCGUGGGGAGCAAACAGG
rnacentral:rRNA from 1 species